GUAGGGUGCGAGCGUUAAUCGGAAUUACUGGGCGUAAAGCGUGCGCAGGCGGUUGUAUAAGUCAGAUGUGAAAUCCCCGGGCUCAACCUGGGAACUGCAUUUGAGACUGUACGGCUAGAGUGUGGCAGAGGGGGGUAGAAUUCCACGUGUAGCAGUGAAAUGCGUAGAGAUGUGGAGGAAUACCGAUGGCGAAGGCAGCCCCCUGGGUCACUACUGACGCUCAUGCACGAAAGCGUGGGGAGCAAAC
rnacentral:rRNA from 1 species